UGGUUCCUCCCACAAAAUGUGUGAUGGAACUCAGCAGUGGACUGUUUGAGCACUAUAUCAAGAACUGCCCUAAUCUGAUGACAGUUUGUGAACAAAAUCAUGA